rnacentral:rRNA from 1 species
GGCACCUUCGGUGUCCGAGUUGUAAUCUCUAGAAAUGUUUUCCGCGUUGGACCGCACACAAGUCUGUUGGAAUACAGCGGCAUAGUGGUGAGACCCCCGUAUAUGGUGCGGACGCCCAGCGCUUUGUGAUACAUUUUCGAAGAGUCGAGUUGUUUGGGAAUGCAGCUCAAAUUGGGUGGUAAAUUCCAUCUAAAGCUAAAUAUUGGCGAGAGACCGAUAGCGAACAAGUACCGUGAGGGAAAGAUGAAAAGCACUUUGGAAAGAGAGUUAACAGUACGUGAAAUUGUUGGAAGGGAAACGCUUGAAGUCAGACUUGCUUGCCGAGCAAUCGGUUUGCAGGCCAGCAUCAGUUUUCCGGGAUGGAUAAUGGUAGAGAGAAGGUAGCAGUUUCGGCUGUGUUAUAGCUCUCUGCUGGAUACAUCUUGGGGGACUGAGGAACGCAGUGUGCCUUUGGCGGGGGUUUCGACCUCUUCACACUUAGGAUGCUGGUGGAAUGGCUUUAAACGAC